GAGUCUUUAUCGAAUGCCUGUAAAAUGUUCCAGGCAGGGUUCUAGACACUGGGAAUGAAGGGGUGAACGAAACAGACAACAAUUCCAAAAAUCCCUGCCUUUGAUCUAGGGGAGACAGGGGUCGAACAAGAAAUAAAAUUAGUAAGAUGUAGUAUGCUAGAUGACGGCAAAGACUAUGGCAAAAAUUCAGCAGGAAGAGGGUGGGUAGGAAGCUCUGGGGGUGGGGUGGAAGAGAUUUCCUUUUUAAGCAGAUUAGUCAAGAAAGGCCUACCUGAGAAGGUGAUGUUUGAACAAAGACUCUAAGGAGGAGGGAAGGUAAGCCCUGGGGAAGUGCAAAGGCCCUGAAGUGGAUGCAUAUCUGGUGCGUUCAAGUCACAACAAGGAGGCCAGGGUGACUGGGAUGAGCUCAGAGAGCUAAAGGCCGCAGUGGGGCUGAUGGUGUAGAAGCCCCACGUAAAGAUUGCUGUAAAUUAUGCCUGGCUGCACAGGAUUAUCUCAGGGAGGAGCCAAGAUUGAAAGACGUGUGAUUUUCAGGUGUGGAGGAGGAGCCAAGUUGUAACUCCAGCCUGAGAGAGAGGGGGUGUCUAGGAGCGGGUCAUGGCUCAUGCAGUGAACACCGUCGACACCUACCAUGUGCCAGGCACUGUGCAGGAAGGUGGGCUUUACCGGAGUGAACUUAGGAAGCAUCCAGGCUGAGAGAGAACUGGAUGUUCUCUGGAGCCUGCAUUUCGUUUCUCUGGCUGUUGCUGAGAAAAGGAGGGACCCAGCUCUGCACCUGGCCACUGCAAACCCCAUAAAGUUCAUGGUAUGACUCUUCCAUGGACCAUAACCUCCUCCCAUCCCUAAUCUGGCCCAGGCAGGACUGAGUUGGAGGAUGCUGGAUCUGCCAGGAGAGGAGAAAGGGGAGGGGAAGAUUGUUUCAGGCUGUUAAUAGUCUCGAAAGAAAGCCCGAAGACAAGA